rnacentral:rRNA from 1 species
AUGGAUAUUUUGGGAUAUCACAAUAUCUCUUAUUAUAUUAAUGCAUCUAUAUAUUUUGGUAAAGGGUGGAAGGCUCGGCCUUAUGCCUGGUGUUUUGUUCCACUCUUGCCGCCCUAUUGCAGGUGCCGACGAUGCCAAGUCAGGUUUUACUUUGUGGAUGUCAAUAAAGUUCCACAGGCCAUGGUAAAAAGAGGAAAUAUAAGCAAAAUGCCGACUAUUCAGAUAACCUCAUAUUUGUUUUCUGAAUUGUGGAAGGAUGGAGAAUGGAAGGAGGAAGUGAUUGGAUGCCAUAAAGCAUGGCUGGUGAUGGAUGAGGUUAAAGAAAUGAUCCAUAAGUACAAGUGA